GCCUUUGGGGGUACUCGAGUGGCGAACGGGUGAGUAACACGUGGGUGAUCUGCCCUGCACUUUGGGAUAAGCCUGGGAAACUGGGUCUAAUACCGGAUAGGACUACGGCAUGCAUGUGGUGUGGUGGAAAGCUUUUGCGGUGUGGGAUGGGCCCGCGGCCUAUCAGCUUGUUGGUGGGGUGAUGGCCUACCAAGGCGACGACGGGUAGCCGGCCUGAGAGGGUGUCCGGCCACACUGGGACUGAGAUACGGCCCAGACUCCUACGGGAGGCAGCAGUGGGGAAUAUUGCACAAUGGGCGCAAGCCUGAUGCAGCGACGCCGCGUGGGGGAUGACGGCCUUCGGGUUGUAAACCUCUUUCAGUACAGACGAAGCGCAAGUGACGGUAUGUACAGAAGAAGCACCGGCCAACUACGUGCCAGCAGCCGCGGUAAUACGUAGGGUGCGAGCGUUGUCCGGAAUUACUGGGCGUAAA
rnacentral:rRNA from 1 species